rnacentral:lncRNA from 1 species
GAUCAGAUACAUUAACACCAGACAUCCACAUGAUCCUUUUCAGGAUCAAAUACAAAAAUAUUCUUCAUUUUUAUACAUGAUAAGGCCACUUGCUUCUGCUGUAGUAUCUAUACACCAAACAUCAUGUUCAAUUCCAUCAUUGUUGUACGUGUUUCCCAUUUCAAUAACUGAAAAAUCUCCUCCGUUUCGGGGUUUGGAGACAGUGUAAUGAGCCGCUCUCCUGGUUUAAGGGCUUCAAUGCAGACUCCUGGAGUAUCACAAGUUUACGACACUUGGUGGUUGACAUAAAACCCCUAAAUAACCGAGCAGACAGAUAUGAUCACAGCUUUCAAUUUCACUGCAGCUUCAUGAACCAUAUCGUGUCAGCAUACAGCGUAAAAAAGGUGCAAACAUAUUUUACAUGAGUGGAAUAACAAACGGUAAUGGAGACAAUAAAUUAACCACCCUUAACCACAGAUUAAAGAGUUUAUGCAUGUAAAAAAAAAACAAACAAAAAAAACAAAAAAAGGUUUGUUGUUUACUCCAGAGCUGUGGAAGUACCCAAUAGAAAUAUUUUUGAUUUUUUUGUAUACAAGAUAAUACAAGAUUGAACAGUCAGAGAGUGUAAAUGUUCAACUGUUAUUUAAAGAGGCUGAUGCUGUUUAUGGAUUCACUACUAUCCUGAAUAUCUGUUUGUUUAAAAAGUGCCUUUUAACUCUCAGAGGGCUGCCACAGCUAGCUUGCUAUCAGCUGCUCCUUCCUCUUCGUCUCUCCUAUGGCAACCAGGGUAGAGGACUAUCGCUAUGAACUCUGGGUGCCUUACCUUUUACUUGUUUUGUAGCACAUUUUAUUAUCAAUGCAGGUAUGAUACUGCAGCCUUAGUUCACAGUUUGCCUCUUUUGGCAUUUCCAUUUGCAAAUUCAUUCUUUCAAUUUAGAGAAAAGUUCCCUUUAGUAUUGUCCGUACAACAAUACACCUCUCGUAAUCAUUGCUAAAUCCUUUUAGGACAGUUGGGAUUGCUAACACCAUCAAUGAUGGUCAUACUGGACUGUCUUCUGCUCUUAUUUUAGCCUCCAGUUCUUUAACCGUACAGCGACGGUACAUAAUAAACCCGCGUCUGGUGCCGUUUCUUAAAGCUCGUUUCAUGUCCUCCGAUGUGAUUGCGUAGCUGCAGCAUCACUACAGUACACUUGACUGUACAUUUGUUAUAUUUGGCAAAAAGAAGGAUCCUGGUUCAACAAAGUCUGGACUGUGGUGAUGGUGAAACCGUCUUUUUCACCACCAAUUCAUCUUAUUGUGAGUUUACAUUCAGAAAUCAAUAGGAAAAAUCUAUAGAGGUACGAUCGUCUGCGGGCAUCAAUUCCUAACAGAGCUCCUUUGGGGCCGAUGAGCCAGCAGCCUGUGAAGGUUAAUGGCAAGGAAGAGGUCACAAAUUGCUUCAUUCAGUCUCCUCCAUUAUCUACCCGUGCUGUCAAAAACUGUACUCCUGUAGACUUCGAUCCAUAAAUCACACCUCAAGCCCAUGAGUAACGACGGCUCAUGUGAGGAGGAUUUGGCUGGAGUGAGUCCAGAAGAUAAGUCCUCCUCUGCACCCCUCUGACACCGAAAGAGGAGAGGUGCUGAUAAAGAAUUGGGAGAGGACCAGAAAAUCAAUCAGGAAGCCAUCUGGCAUCCCGGCACUCUGGAGAAGCCAACAACUGUCGACGCCUCCGCUGUUCCCCCCCUCGGCGACUCUACACAGCCUAAGGGAUAGCUACAAGUGACCGCAGCCAGGAGCAGAGGGAUCUAUAGUUAUCCGGUUCUGAUGGAUGGAAACAGAGAUAUGGUGUGCCCGAAUCAGCACAGCCCACCAGAGUAAUGUAUGAACACUCCAGGGAGCACUUUCUUGGCCGUACAUUCUGGAUGCACAGCAGGGGAGGGUGCAUUUUAUAGGUGUGCAGAUGCUUUCGUACAACUCUGGGAGCUGUUUUCUUUUUGUAUCAUUGGCUGGCAAAAUAAAGAUUCAAUACAAAAGCCUCCUAAAUUAAAUCUUUUUUGCAUAUGAGGCACUUUUAAUGGCAUCUGAGUGGAUAAAGCAACAGAACAGGAGCCAAAUCUUGUAAUUUUAGUGUUAAAACUGCACAAAUAACUACUUUAAAGGGAUAUUCCGGUGUAAAGUUAAGUAACAACAACAACACCGUAACACAGA